GCAGCGGUGGCUUAGUGGUUAGAGCGCCUCUCAACAACGUCUCUUGCAAACACAAGGAUGUGACGUGUAUCCGCGACCACUUCAGUGGCUCUUCAAAAACAUGAAACAACGAGGAGAUCGUAAGUUCGGUUCCUGCCCGCUGCA
rnacentral:tRNA from 1 species